CUUGUUUGGGCUGCACUUGAAAUUGGGAUACUUGGCAUUUCUUGUAACGCACCUUUUAAAGGAAGGAGAAAGCUGCACUGUGUUUGAAAAGUGUGAGGCUGGAGCUCCAGAAAUGUAGAACUGAACUGGCUCAGGGGAUCUCCGUACCAGACCUGUGAAGAGACCAGAGCAGCGCUGGGCUUUCCGCAGACCUCCUUCCCCUGGAAUGGAUUUGUGCUGAAUUACAGCAGCUUCUGGCUGCACAUAAAGUGGCCCAGUAUGACGCCCACUUGGAAGCCAGCAGGGGCUCAUCACUCAGCGCAAGGAGAGCGCCUCUGCACAAGGCAAGCUGCAGAAGUGCCUAUCGCCUGCAGGUUUUGUUUCUGAUCCUCUAAUCCAGU
rnacentral:lncRNA from 1 species